CGGGCCGGCCGGGCGCUGCUCGCCAAGAUGGCGGACGAGGAGGGCGAGGGGCUGCCGCGCUCGGCGGCGGGGCCGCAGCGGAACGGCGGCGGCGAGGGGGCGCCGGGGGGGCCGGGGGGGCCGCGGGUGGUGCGCAUCGUCAAGUCCGAGUCCGGCUACGGCUUCAACGUGCGCGGCCAAGUGAGCGAGGGCGGCCAGCUGCGGAGCAUCAACGGCGAGCUGUACGCGCCGCUGCAGCACGUCAGCGCCGUGCUGGGCGGCGGGGCCGCCGACCGCGCCGGGGUCCGCAAGGGCGACCGCAUCCUGGAGGUGAACGGGGUGAACGUUGAAGGAGCGACCCACAAACAAGUGGUGGACCUGAUCCGCGCCGGGGAGAAGGAGCUGAUCCUGACGGUGCUGUCGGUGCCUCCCCACGAGGCCGAUAACCUCGACCCCAGCGAUGACUCUUUGGGACAGUCCUUCUAUGACUACACGGAAAAGCAGGCUGUGCCCAUCUCCAUCCCCACCUACAAGCACGUGGAGCAGAACGGCGAGAAGUUUGUGGUGUACAACGUUUACAUGGCGGGCCGCCAGCUCUGCUCCAAGCGGUACCGUGAGUUUGCCAUCCUGCACCAGAACCUGAAACGGGAAUUCGCCAACUUCACCUUCCCGCGGCUCCCGGGGAAGUGGCCCUUCUCCCUGUCGGAGCAGCAGCUGGAUGCCCGGCGGCGAGGGCUGGAGGAGUACCUGGAGAAAGUGUGCUCGAUACGCGUCAUCGGCGAGAGCGACAUCAUGCAGGAGUUCCUGUCGGAGUCGGACGAGAAUUACAAUGGUGUCUCAGACGUGGAGCUCAGGGUAGCAUUACCAGAUAUAACAACAGUGACGGUCAGAGUCAAGAAGAACAGCACUACAGAUCAGGUGUACCAGGCUGUGGCUGCUAAAGUUGGAAUGGACAGUAUUACCGCAAACUACUUCGCCUUGUUCGAAGUGAUCAAUCACUCCUUUGUGCGCAAGCUGGCGCCCAAUGAAUUCCCCCACAAACUCUACGUGCAGAACUACACCUCGGCAGUGCCAGGAACAUGCCUGACCAUCCGGAAAUGGCUCUUCACUACAGAGGAGGAGGUUCUUCUCAACGACAAUGACUUGGCGGUCACCUACUUCUUCCAUCAGGCUGUCGAUGAUGUCAAGAAAGGCUACAUCAAAGCAGAGGAGAAGUCCUACCAGUUACAGAAGCUGUGUGAGCAGAGAAAGAUGGUCAUGUACUUGAACAUGUUGCGGACGUGCGAGGGUUACAACGAGAUCAUCUUCCCCCACUGCUCCUGUGACUCCCGGCGGAAGGGACACGUCAUCACGGCCAUCAGCAUCAAGCACUUUAAACUCCACGCCUGCACCGAGGAGGGCCAGCUGGAGAACCAGGUCAUAGCGUUCGAAUGGGACGAAAUGCAGCGGUGGGACACGGACGAGGAGGGAAUGGCGUUUUGUUUUGAAUACGCACGCGGAGAGAAGAAGCCCCGAUGGGUUAAAAUCUUCACCCCCUACUUCAACUACAUGCACGAGUGCUUCGAACGGGUUUUCUGCGAGCUCAAGUGGAGGAAGGAGGUGGAGGAGGAAGCAACAGACAAGGAUAACAAGAACUGCAGUAAAGACAAUAUGUGCAGCAAGGUAAUUGGGCUGAAAACAAACAGCAUCUGUGCUCUGUGAGCCAGCCUGGCUGCUGUGCUGCGGACGCAGUGUCUCCUGCUCCUCUGCUCCAGCUCCCGUUAGCGUAGAACAGUGCCCUUUCCUAGUGGCUUCUCCUCGGAGGGAACCCGCAGACUAACCCCCCCACUGCUGCUUUUGAUGGAGUAGAGGUGGCUUUGUGCCUCGAGGCCUCUUUGCUGACGUUAGGAACGUUUGGGGCCCGUCUCCUGGACGCCGCCGGUCUCCGGAUGCCCCGGGAUGUGACGCUCCGGCCGCGAGCGGUGGCUCCCUUCGCCUCCCCGGAGGAGAGGGGACGGGCGCAGCUGCACGGGGACAAACGCUUUGGCUCCGCUCGCCUUGUAAAGGACCAGAGACUUUAUCCUGGAAGCCGCGGGGCUAGUGAACAUCUUUCAGAUGGUCAGGUCACAGCAGAGGGACGCGGCCACUUAGCCCCUUGGCACGGAAGAACGUACCCCCCCCCCCCCCCCCCAAAUUAACACUUACAAAUUCUGUUAUUGUAUUAAAGCCCUUAAACUAAAUAUUAUUAAUAAUAAUACCAUUUGUGAACUUCAUGUUUAUGGAAUUAAGCAACUAGGAGAAGGGCAGGCUCGGCGGUGGCAAGGGGAAGGCGGUGGUGGACAGCGCGAGCUCGCCCCGGGGUGUUCUGUCUCUUCCUUUCCACCUGGGUCUGAUUCCAGAAGACGGACUGGGCUUCUGUUUUUUACAACUGGAAACUGAAACAUCGUCCAUUUGCACUGUUCAGGCAUAUAUAUGUAUGUAUGUAAAAAAAAAAAAAGGAAAAAAAAAAAACUGAAAAAGCUAUAUAUAUAAAGGCCGUGCACGUAUAUACAUAUAUAUAUUUCUUUUAAAAUUUCAUACCAGUGGCAGUACCUUUUUUAAGCUUGCGUUUUUACACGCAUCUCCCCUCCCGAUUCAUUGUGUUGUUUUUUUUAAAAACUAACUUUAGCGAAAAAAAAAAAAAAACAGAAAAAGGAAAAAAAAACAAAUCAAAACACAGCAACGUUACAGGGAAAUACCUCUCCUGGCACAAGGACCUCGACACGUUUACAAGCUUCUGACUUCGCUUUUCCCCCACUGGAGGUUCCCCCGUGGAGGUCGCUCGGUGCCGGGUGCCUCCGGAGGCCGCGCGCCAUCGCCCCUGGGCCCCCCCCCGGAGCAGGAGCCCCCCGGGGCGAGCGUGGCCGCCCCGGGCCCCGUGUGCUCGGGGACCCGUCCUGGUCGCGUGGUCCCCGCGGCGGGGCAGAGGCACGAGAGCAGAAGCGAGGCAGCGAGCGGGGAAUUAGCGCUCGCUGUGCUAAUGGGAUUUCUCGGCCGCUGUCCUCGGGCGCCCCGCGGGCCAGUCCCGGGCACUCAAAUUGUGCGAUCGGGGUUUGUCACCAAUUUUAGUCCUUAAUUUCAGGGGGAGGAGGGGCCUGGAGCUCCCAACCCGUUGGCCUGGGCUCUGCGACGCACACAGCGCUUGUUGCGUUUCAGGCCGCUGCGUUUGGGGUUUUUGUUGUUGUUGUUGUUUUUUUUUUUCUUUUUUUUCUUUUUUCCUUAAGGAAACCGAAAGCGACGCUCUGUGCCCGGCUAAGUAGGUCAGGAAGCGCCGCGGCCGCCCGCCGGCUUUAAUCGCGCGGAGCCGGGCCCCCCCCCCCAGGGCUCAGCAAUAAUCGGGGGGCUCGGCCCCCCCCACACCCAGCGCGCCCCCGGCUGGCCCCCCCCCCCAGCCCCCCCACGCUGCCAUGCACACAUCCGCUUUAAUUUAUUCGAGAGAACUCUAACGGUGUUUUCACUACGGUAUCUUGUAUUUUUUAUCCGUGAUUCAGAAAUGUGAAGGAAAAAAAAAAAAAGACCAAAAAAAAAAAAAGCAAAAAGGAGGAAUUAAAAAAAAAAAAAAAAAAAAAAAGCCUCUCCCCUCCCCGUCUGCUCCCGGUGUCGUUCCUCGUUCUCUAGCGCUAACCACUCCGGUUGUUUGGUAAAGUCACUUAGUGUAAUUAAUUGUAACAUAUUCUUUUAAAUAAAUUGAUUUAUUGAUGAAGCUGCUGGGAA